UCAGAUCCAGUAUCUCCCGUAUGGUCCAUGCUGGAGCUCUUUUUGGAUUUGGGACUGCAUCGCCACCCAUGCUGAUCAAAGCUCCAUGCUGGGCAAACAGGAAAUGAAAUUCAAAUGUUCACGGGGCUUUUCCUGUCUACUUGGCCUCUGCAUCCGAGUUCAGAUUGCUGUCCAGAGCGGUCACAAUGGUGCACUGUGGGAUACUGCCCAGAGGCUAAUACCGUCAAUUUGCAGCCACUCUAACCCUAAUCCGAUAUGGUAAUACCAAUUUCAGCGCUACUCCUCUCGUCGGGGAGGAGUACAGAAACCGGUUUAAAGAGCCCUUCAUAUCGAUAUUAAGGGCCUCGUUGUGUGGACAGGUGCAGUGUUAAAUUGGUUUAACGCUGCUAAAAUCGGCUUAAACGCGUAGUGUAGACCAGGCCUUAGACUAAUAUUGUGAGACCUGUAGAAGCAGGGCUCACAUCAGAAGUGAGUGGAAAACAGCAGAAUAGUCAGUGUGACCUAGCCUUGAAAUAACGAUGUUUGAGAAGAGAAAGUUAGAAAAUACUAGAAUAGAUAGCAAACCACCUAAAUAAAAUGCAGAUGUUUUUAAUUAAUGCACGUCACAAAGAGGUAUAAAUGCUUGUGUGAUUUUGCUUGUACUUUGGAGAAACUGAGGCAGAGAUGCUCUGUGUCAGUUGUGUCUUUCCCUUGCAAUUGCAUGUUCUGUAUAAAGCUGUCUCUGAUUUUGUUGCUUUAA